rnacentral:rRNA from 1 species
AUGAGGGUGGAGAGGAGGGGACGACAGGUGACGGGAGCGCUGCCGGCCGGCACGGGAGCGGCGGCGCGGCAGAUAGUGCUCCCUCUCAUGCCGCGCUGCUGCGGGCGGCACGGCGGCUCCUGCUCCCUCGGCUGCGGGGCGCGCGACAUACUACGGGCGGGGGGUGGCACGUUGGCUCCUGGUCCCUGUGCGGCGUGGCGGCAGCGCGGCGCACAACAUGCUGCAGGCGGGCCAGGGGCGCGGCGACUCCUGCUCCAUAGGCGGCAUGGCGGCGGCGGAGAGGGAGCGUGGGGAUCGUGUGUGGAGGCGGCGGAGGCGGCCAAGGCCGCGGAGAACCCCAACUUCGUCACCAAGCAAAGGUUCUUGUACAAGGCCGCGCGCGGUCGCGCCGCAUGCAACGUGGUCGUGACACAGUCGGACGCGGAGGCGGCGCAGGCGAUCGCGGACAAGAAUGUCGGCAACUGCGCACCCUUAUCGCCGCCAAUGAAGUUUCGGUGGUGCCGGUUCCACGACGAGGCACGUCCGUCCAUGUCCAUCAUCGAUCCUCACGUGAACCGACACGGUGUGGACGGGCAUCGCAACGGUAAGAAAUUCCCCUGUCCGCCCCCAAUUCGAGACGGAAGCACCGCACAGCAGCCUACCCCUGCCCCUGCCCCUGCCCCUGCCCGCUCCGGAUCCUUCCAUCCAUCACGAACCCACCAGCUCCACUUUCCUUUUAUUUCCGCCGCCACGCCACGCCACGCGCACCUCGGCGAAGGACAAGGCUCCGGCUGCCGCCACCGCCUCUGCCCCGGCUAUAAAGCCGCGCCCUUUGGCCGGCCCGCUCCUCCUCCUCCUCGCUUCGCCCGGGCCGCGCCUUCCUCCUCCUCGCCGCGCACUGCCCGGUCUGCUCCAACUCCUCUCCUCGCCCGGGCCGUGCCUUCCUCCUCCUCGCCGCGCCCUGCCCGGUCUGCUCCUCCACCUCCUCUCUUCGCCCCGGCCGCGCCUUCCUCCUCCUCGCCGCGCUCCGGCCGGUCCGCUGCUCCUCCACCCUUCGUCCGGGCCGUGCUUCGUCAGUUUAGAACCGCUCCCGAGUUGGUUUUGCGCGUCCCCGCCGUCGUCAGCUUAGAGUCGCUCGCUUCUGAUUUGAUUCUGCUCGUCCUCGCCGUCGUCCGUUUUCGUUUUGUUCGUCCUCGCCGUUGCCCCGACGCGCUCGCAUGUUCUUGGUCCGCCUCGUCGAGGGUCUCCGUCUGGUUUGCGAUUCAGAAAUUUCUGCGUGUGCUUCUGUUGUCUGAGAGACGCUUUGGAUCCUGCGUUUCUUCGUGUUCGUGUCAGCGCGAUUGUUACAGGAACGGUCGGGUCUUGGUUUUGAAAUUGGAUUACGGGCCGGAGAUGGAGAGACGGGGAGAGAUUGACAAGGUUCUGUUCGUAGGAUAUAGACAAAUGUCACAUUUGCUCUUCCUUGUGUUGCUAAGGACACUGAUGGGUGGGGUUUGCUUACAGCGCAGGACCGGUAAUUCUGAUAGUAUGCCAAGGACUGCUCAGGGUUCCUAUUGCUUUCUGUUUUACCACCUAAGUAUUUUCCUGACUCUGAAAUUUGGUGAUAAAGAAAAGAAUCCAGGGUGGAUGGAGGUUUUCAUGAUGGCUAAUUUGAUUUGUUAUGAUGGUGUGCUUCUUGUGUUUGAACUGAAGCCGUGGAUCACUCAUCAACCUGGUCUGUGUUUGUAUGAAGGUUCUUUAACACUGAACUCAUCAAAGAUCCUUGGACUCAAGAGGAAGAUGACCAAAUUAUUGACCUUAUGGACUGACAAAAUGGUCUCAUUGCAAGGUCAGCUACCAGAACUUCUUGCUGCUGAUCCUGGGAUGUUUCCGAACAUGCUCCCAAACAUGUUCAAUUUAUCCGCCCUAGGACAGGUUACUCGGCAUGCUCGGCGUGUUUACUUCUGUGGACUUCCUCCGAUCGAUAAUGAACAGAUGGUUGCUCUAUUCUUCAAUCAAGUUAUGGCUGCUAUCGGGGGAAACACAUUUGGUCUAGAAAUAGCAAAAGUUAUUCCUGGAAGUGGAUCUUCACAUAAUGUGAUAGCAUGUCAUGAAGCUUUGAAAUGCAUCCUUCCUUGCUAUGAAAAAUCUAGGCAUGCCAGGAACUUCGUGAUUCCUUUCUCAAGCUGUAUGAGAGAAAAAGGGUCACGCAGGAGUCAAUCCCACGACGUCCUAGGAUGGCCCACUCGUCGUUAUCUCUCUUAUCACCCCGUCUUCUUCUUUCUCUAUCUCUUUUCCUUCCUCCCGUGGUUCACCCAGAGUGACGCCGCUGGCGAGCAGCCCGCCUUCCCCCUCCCCCUCCCCCCCCCUCGCGCAGGAAGCAUCCUGCCCGAGUUAGGCGACCUUCGUUGGCUGCUACAGACGAACAGGGCAAGCGAAGAGCACACAGAGCUGCGCAUGCCGGUGCUCGUGCGCCGCCACCUGCUGCUGUCCCCAGCUCCUCGCCGCCCUUGGUGUGGUCGCUCCUUGCCGCCACCUGUUGCGCCCACCGGCCACUCGCCGCCUUUGUUGUGCGAGUAUGAGGCUCUGCAGUCGUCGCGUGCUUAUGGACGUGAGCGGCCUGAGGCCUUGCUGCUGGCCGCGCCAUGGGGAGUCGCCGGUCGUGCACCCCUAGUCAAUGUCCUGGAGCUCGGCCUCCUCAGGUGGCUGGGAGGGGAUGGAGGGGAGUGGGCGGCGAUUCUAGGGAGAGGACGGCGGCCGGUUGCGGGAGAGAGGUCGAGCCGGUUUACACCGUCUGAUGCGUUAGAUAAUAAGAGUACUUUCAGACUUGCAACCCCGGCCCUAGAUCGUCUUGACUAUUCCCAGGUCACAGCUCCCUGCUCUCAUACUCUACGUCUGCGCUGCACAUGCACCCUGCUCCAGCGCGCGGCUACUACUAUACCCGUCUCCUCCGGGCUCCGGCCAGCUCUGCUGGCAGGUCGCUGCCAAUGCAUCUUGGCUUUGCACUGUCGCUCAAUGGUGACACGCCAAAGACUCGGCAGGUGUUGCAUCAAGGUAUCACCACACCAUGGUGAGAUCCCCUUUGCUGCUAACCAGGAACUUGAGAAUUGUUUCGAUGCUCAAAACUAUGAAAACGCCACCGUAGAAGGAUCUCCAGCUCAAAAGAGCCUGGACUCACCGGGCGUAAGAAAAUACGAAGCAAGUCAGAGCCUGCAAGGAGACCGGGGGUGGAGCUGCAAUCUGGAUGCGGAGGUGAUCCGGUGGUGCUGGUGUGUGAACGGAGGGGAUGAACCGACGAAGGUGGUGGUUUGGCGGGAUUGCAUGGGUGGCGAAUCCGUGUCACAUGAGCCGUUCGAUGUAAUAGAAUCGACGGCUACAACAGGGGAGGAGAAGCUCCGCCCAAGGAAAAAUUACAAAAAGGCCAACAGACAGAGUGACAACCCUCUUUCACCAAAGAAGAAGGCGAAAGGCGAUAUGCUCUCGGCUGGUGGUUCUGUAACUGGAAGCAACCAGCUUAGCAGUUGA